AAAACGUGAGAAGGUUGCACGGAGGAAACAAAUCUCCCCACAAAUGCAAAGGACAGAAUGUAUUUUUUCUCUCAGUAGAGACAGCUCCUUUAUGUAAUUAUACUUGUGGGCCCCUGUGUGGGUGCAAAGAGACUUCCUGUAAAGAUCAACUGCAUAGAUUCACAAUUUUUAAAGUAGCUUUAGAAUGCCUUUAUAUGAAAACACAGCAAAUACAAUGAAUAAGUAUGCAAAUUGUUAAAUCUUUAUCAAUUUAUUUGCCAAGAUCAGCUUGUUACAGUACAACGUGGAAAGACAAACGUUAUAAGAAGGCUGCCUGAAGGAAGCAAGCAAUCACAUUUUAAUAGUAAAGAUGUCUUACAUUUUCUCUUUUAUUUCUGGCUGUCUAAUUUGUCCAGCUCCAGGGACCUCAAGGAUCUUCCACAAGGAACUUUGUUCAAAGAAUCUGGAAGCUCACAAAUUUUAGAAAUAGAAAACAAUAGUGCUCCCUCUUCCUCCUCAAAUGUCACUGUUAACCGCUUAAGUGCUUGUUGGUUGCUGCUCACACAUCAGUCUUCCUACAAAUGGGAAACCCUCUCACUCUCUGUGGGUCUUCCUCUUGUCCAACAGGCUCAACAACCUGCUCUGCCGCAACCCUGUCUGGACUCCUCAAGCUUCCCAGGGUUCCAUGACCUGAUCUUGCGGACAGAAAGAGUCAGAGUCAGAAGGUAGAUUAUCAUUUGCACACAUGGCAAGCCAAUGGGAAAGAAUCAUCUGGAUAGAGUAUUUUAUUUAUUAACUUACUGAGUUCUACUUGUGUUAGGUCCAUCUGACCAGACUGAGGAAAAAAGACUUAGUCCAUUUAUUUUUGGGUGACUUGUAAGUGAGAACUGGUUUAUACAUUUUAAGAUGAUUGUAAGCAGUAAAACUAGUAUGUCAAAGCACAUGGGAAAUAUAUGAUAUUUAAACCUUGGUGUUUAUAUGAAAGGUUUUCUUGGGACGUAGCUGUGUUCCUUUGUUAAUUUCUCCAUAUAUUGUUAGAAGUUGUUUUGAAUAUACAAUGACUGUAAUAUUUACUAUUGGCUCUUUGCAGAAAGUAUCCUAAUCCUUCAUUUAAACCAACUUUAAAUCUGCAUGUUGAUGAGCCAAUGUUUGACUGGAGAGCUGGACUUUCCUGGGCAGAAAUUGUCUAUAAAUAAAAUCUUUGUUGCUUUAGUGGUUAACAAACAAAAUGGCAUAUAUAGCAGCUUGCAUAUGCUAGCUUACAUAUAAUUUUUUAUUUUCAGUUGGUUUUAAAAUACUUAAAAACAUUUUAUGUAUGUGUAUUUAUGAGUCAGUGUGUGUAUGUGUGUGUGUGUGUGUGUGUGUGUGUGUGUGUGUAUUGCAUGCAUGUGCUUGCAGAGAUCCAAAAGGGCAUUGGAUCCCUUGGAGCUGGAAUUUCAGGUGGUUGUGAGUCACCUGACAUGGGUCCUGAAAAUGGAACUAAGGUUCAAAGAGCAGCAAGCACUCUUCUCCAUCAAGCCAUCCUCCCAGCCCCACAUACAGCUUUUAGAAGUCCACUUGCAUAAUCUGCUUCAGGAAGCUUCUCUGACAGAAUCCUAUGAAUAGUGAGAGGACUGGGGAGAUUUUUCUACAGUUUGACUGCAGUGAUUCCAACAACACAGUGAGAAACGUGUGCUUGGAAAGAAACCUCCGUCUUUCUUAGCUGCAUGAUAAUGGACUAAGUACACCAAACUUCACCUCUCUGAAAACUAACCAUGAUUAUAUUAGCUACAGUCUGCUCUGUGGGAAUGCUCAUUUGUGUAGUAUUGGUUUUCUUCUAGGUAUGAAUAUUUUUUCAAUAAUCUCCAGCAUCCUUAGGACUAAACAGGAAAUGCCAGUUCGAGUGUGAAGGAGAAACAAGGAAGAAGCAAGAUGGGCCUACAUUGCAUCAAAUGCUCCUUCAGCCUCAAGCACAGGAGGGUCUGAAGAGAAGGACUUUUUUCCUUUAACCAUAGUUUGCAAUGAUAUCCAAUUUUUAUUGAGAAGGAUCCAGGAUGUGAUGUUUUAAGUUAUAUAGUCUAAACAUCUGUAAUCUACUCUAAAAGAGUUUCUCUGGUGUCUUUAUCCAAACUUGGUAAAGGGUCUCAAGAUCAUGUCUGAGUUCAAAUCUGAAUAAAUGAUUAAGUGUUUUGCUAAAAACUAAAAGAUAUCAUGAAGUCAAUAAUGAUGUCUCUACUUUUUAUUACUUGGAAAAACCCGUAGAGAUUAAAAAUAGUUAUCUUUAGCAUUAUAAAGAUGAAUUUUAUAUACUAAUUUUAACAUCUCCUCUAUGGAUUCAGGAAUAGUUUAUUGCCAGGUGCUUGUCUUGGUAGAGGAAAACCAAAUUAACCAUGGCCAGGUGGGGUCCAUUGUUUCGGGAAGCAGUCCCAUGAUCCUCAGGGUUGUUUUUCCUCAUUUGUUGCUCCCCUUUGCCCCCAUCCAGGCAGCACUAAAUCAUGUCCUAAGUCUACACAUUCUCCCAGUGCCCUGGUGGGUAAUGUUGGAGAUAUCAGUUAUGGCAGCUUUAAUAUAGACAACUAAUGAAGAGCCGCAAACACAAAUGACUGAGAGCUGAAGGUGUGGAGGCAUUACUCUUGUAGGUAUAAAUGUCGAUAGUGUAGGAGAUAGAGGGAGUGGAGAGAAUUCCACAAGACCAUUUGGCAAACGUGAGGAAACAGAGUGCCAAAUUCAAUGUCUGAAUACAGUUAAGAAGGAAAUUAGGAAGAAUGACAAUGAACUUGGCAAAUGCUGUACAAACUGCACUCUGUCCUUAUUGCACUGAAUAGCCAAUUGUAUGAUAUUCAUCAUAGUUAAGCAGACACUGUCCUGAUUUUGGCCAAGAUGAUUUAAUGCUUACCAUGUGGUAGCCAUUUUUAAAGCUCCAUGAAAUCCCCAUGGCAGUUUCUUAUGAAUUUCCCACUAUUACUGAUGUGGAAAUCAAGCAACAUUAACUCAGCUAUGAUCAUAAACGGCAAGUUUCUAUUGACUAUCACUAUAGAGAGAAUGUCUUUUUUUUUUUAAAGCCAAAUAAGGUCAGUUCCACUUCUCUUCAUUUUCUAAAGCUAAACAGACAGUAAUAUUUAUUCAUUUGUUUCUUAGAUGCUGAAAUGAUCUGGAACUUUUUAUUAUUCCACAUUAUUUGGUAUUUUGAUAUAUCUUUUCUAAUCGGUUAAUCUGUUUCAUCUUUCUGUGGUUUCCCUCAUGGAUAUUAUUUUUGUGUAAGAAACAGGGUGAAAAUGUGUUUGUCUUAUUUCUGCACUGUCUUCACUCAUAUAAGUGCAGAAGAGACUUGCAUGUGAUGAUGUAAGUGGAUUCCACAUUAAACUGUACAUGAUUUCCACUGACUCACUCAUCCUACCUACUUACUAUUGGUGCUAGACGGGCUCUUUCCUUCCCGUGAUCAUCUAUGUUCUGCUUAUCUAGGAUGAGACUAUUGCUUGUAGUUCAUUCUCAAGCCCUGAAACUUAGACUUAGUCUUUUAGAAUAAUGUUUAUAUAGCCACUUGUUUUUUCUUCUAAAUCAUCCAUGUAUCAUUACAUUUUUAGCCUUAGCCCAACAUUGACAGAUUUCUGAUGUACAUGAGUGUUAUUAUUUUCAUUUCUAUAUCUGCCUAUUGUUUUCAGAACAAAGUUUGUUGAGGUUUUCUUUUCUAAGCUGUAAGCUGGUAGAUACAUAAAAAUGCCACUCAUCUUGGAACCCCUGAGGUUUCAAAGUCUACUUGACACUCAAUAAGUAUUUGUUAAAUGAAUGAAUGAAUUUAAGAUGGUUUAGAAGGUUAGAUUCUUUAGGUUAGAAAUUCAGAAUUACCUUCCAAAAAGUGUGUUCCUGUUAUUCUGAGUUUUGCUCUAUUGUGGAGGUCUACCAAGGCAUUACAUUCCUUUUAUUGUUUUAUGAUGUUGAUUUGUAUGGGCUUGUACUGUGUGUAGUGCAGCGUGAGUGGUUUGGCAAAUAGGAGGGAUUUUAAUUUGCUCUGAGUGACUCAAACAUGUUUCCCUAACAACUGUUUUGUUUGCUUCCUUGGAUUAUUUUUAGUAAUUUUUUUGAGGCUUAAUCACAGACCAGACUGUUACAUCUUGCAUUCUUGAAUAUUUAUUCAGUCCAUCUUUCAGCGCCUGGCAUCUGGUCAUUUGCUUGUGCAGGUGGAAGGGCCAACUUUAUAAUUACCUGCAGAUGAGUAGUUGGGCCAAUUUUCAGAAUGUAUCCACGAACUGUUACUAGAUACCCUUGAGCAAUAUUCAUGGAAAAGCUCAACCAAAAUAGUGGAAUGAAUUUGUUAAUGAAUAUCAGUUCAAAUGUGCAACUGAUAGGGAUGUUAUAAGAGAUUCAAAAUUAAUAAAGCUUAAAAAGUCUGCA